UACGGGGGGGGCAAGCGUUGUUCGGAAUUACUGGGUGUAAAGGGCUCGUAGGCGGCCAACUAAGUCAUACGUGAAAUCCCUCGGCUUAACCGGGGAACUGCGUCUGAUACUGGAUGGCUUGAGUUCGGGAGAGGGAUGCGGAAUUCCAGGUGUAGCGGUGAAAUGCGUAGAUAUCAGGAGGAACACCAGUGGCGAAGGCGGUGAUCUGGGCCGAUACUGACGCUGUAGAGCGAAAGCGUGGGGAGCAAACAGG
rnacentral:rRNA from 1 species